AGUGAACGCUGGCGGUAGGCCUAACACAUGCAAGUCGAACGGAAGGACAGUAAGAGUUUGCCUCUACGGGUGGCGAGGGGCGGAGGGGUGAGGCAUACAUCGGAAUCUACUAUUACGUGGGGGAUAACGUGGGGAAACUGACGCUAAUACCGCAUAUGUUCAACGGCUGAAAGCAGGGGAGCUUCGGACCUUUCGCGUUUGAAUUAGCCGAUGUCGGAUUGGCUAGUUGGCGGGGUAAAGGCACACCAAGGCAACGAUCCGUAGCUGAUCUGAGAGGAUGAUCAGCCACACUGGAACUGAGACACGGUCCAGACUCCUACGGGAGGCAGCAGUAGGGAAUCUUCCGCAAUGGGCGCAAGCCUGAUCCAGCCAUGCCGCGUGAGUGAAGAAGGUCUUCGGAUUGUAAAGCUCUUUUGUUAGGGAAGAACAGCAGCAUGUUUAUACCCCGCUGUUCUGACGGUACCCAACCAGAAAGCCCCGGCUAACUUCGUG
rnacentral:rRNA from 1 species